AUUGAACGCUGGCGGCAGGCCUAACACAUGCAAGUCGAACGGUAACAGGAAGAAGCUUGCUUCUUUGCUGACGAGUGGCGGACGGGUGAGUAAUGUCUGGGAAACUGCCUGAUGGAGGGGGAUAACUACUGGAAACGGUAGCUAAUACCGCAUAACGUCGCAAGACCAAAAAGGGGGACCUUCGGGCCUCUUGCCAUCGGAUGUGCCCAGAUGGGAUUAGCUAGUAGGUGGGGUAACGGCUCACCUAGGCGACGAUCCCUAGCUGGUCUGAGAGGAUGACCAGCCACACUGGAACUGAGACACGGUCCAGACUCCUACGGGAGGCAGCAGUGGGGAAUAUUGCACAAAGGGCGCAAGCCUGAUGCAGCCAUGCCGCGUGUAUGAAGAAGGCCUUCGGGUUGUAAAGUACUUUCAGCGGGGUGGAAGGGAGUUAAGUUAAUACCUUUGCUCAUUGACGUUACCCGCAGAAGAAGCACCGGCUAACUCCGUG
rnacentral:rRNA from 1 species